rnacentral:sRNA from 1 species
GUUGAUGCUCCUCACUCUGCUGGUGCUAGGUAUGGUGUGGGUGGCAUCAGCCAUUGUGGACAAGAACAAGGCCAACAGAGAGUCACUCUAUGACUUUUGGGAGUACUAUCUCCCCUACCUCUACUCAUGCAUCUCCUUCCUUGGGGUUCUGCUGCUCCUGGUGUGUACUCCACUGGGUCUCGCCCGCAUGUUCUCCGUCACUGGGAAGCUGCUAGUCAAGCCCCGGCUGCUGGAAGACCUGGAGGAGCAGCUGUACUGCUCAGCCUUUGAGGAGGCAGCCCUGACCCGCAGGAUCUGUAAUCCUACUUCCUGCUGGCUGCCUUUAGACAUGGAGCUGCUACACAGACAGGUCCUGGCUCUGCAGACACAGAGGGUCCUGCUGGGUAUGUGGCUUCGUAGGGCUUGGGAUACCUGGGUUUCCCCAAGGAGAGUAGCCCCUGGUUCCAGGUGCUUGCUGACAGCCUCCCAUCCCUGCACAGAGAAGAGGCGGAAGGCUUCAGCCUGGCAACGGAACCUGGGCUACCCCCUGGCUAUGCUGUGCUUGCUGGUGCUGACGGUAGGUAUACCAGCCCUAGAGGUGAGGAGUGGACCCUCAGUACUUGAGGCCUUCUCAGGGAGAGGGGAGGCAAUGCAGGGACCUGGUUAUCAUCAGUAAUAGUGGUUGCUUCUCACUGAGUGCCUACUUUUAUGUCCUGCCUGUGGUGAGCACAAAUGUUGAGCACAUCAAUCCCCAUUUUGUAGAUGAAGAGACAGAGU